UUUAGAAAGAUACUUUGUGAACUUAAAAAACAAACAAACAAAAAAUCUCUAUUACAACACUACAUUGUAAAAGUCCAUACGGACACCAAAGUGUGUAUUAGUCCUUUUUAUUAGUCUAUUAUGGGUUAUCUAUACUUUUGCAAUGCUGUUUGUUCCCUCCAGCCCUUUUUAAAUUCUGGAUUGAAGAAUUCAGGGUUUAUGAAAGCCCUUCUUUUU
rnacentral:lncRNA from 1 species